rnacentral:rRNA from 1 species
AGUGAACGCUGGCGGUAGGCCUAACACAUGCAAGUCGAACGGCAGCACAGUAAGAGCUUGCUCUUACGGGUGGCGAGUGGCGGACGGGUGAGGAAUACAUCGGAAUCUACUUUUUCGUGGGGGAUAACGUAGGGAAACUUACGCUAAUACCGCAUACGACCUACGGGUGAAAGCAGGGGAUCUUCUGACCUUGCUCGAUUGAAUGAGCCGAUGUCGGAUUAGCUAGUUGGCGGGGUAAAGGCCCACCAAGGCGACGAUCCGUAGCUGGUCUGAGAGGAUGAUCAGCCACACUGGAACUGAGACACGGUCCAGACUCCUACGGGAGGCAGAAGUGGGGAAUAUUGGACAAUGGGCGCAAGCCUGAUCCAGCCAUACCGCGUGGGUGAAGAAGGCCUUCGGGUUGUAAAGCCCUUUUGUUGGGAAAGAAAAGCAGCAGGUUAAUACCCCGCUGUUCUGACGGUACCAAAAGAAUAAGCACCGGCUAACUUCGUG